AGGCUUAACACAUGCAAGUCGAACGCCCCGCAAGGGGAGUGGCAGACGGGUGAGUAACGCGUGGGAAUCUACCCAGAACUUCGGAAUAACACAUGGAAACGUGUGCUAAUACCGGAUACGCCCUACGGGGGAAAGAUUUAUCGGUUUUGGAUGAGCCCGCGUAAGAUUAGCUAGUUGGUGAGGUAAUGGCUCACCAAGGCUACGAUCUUUAGCUGGUCUGAGAGGAUGAUCAGCCACACUGGGACUGAGACACGGCCCAGACUCCUACGGGAGGCAGCAGUGGGGAAUAUUGGACAAUGGGCGCAAGCCUGAUCCAGCCAUGCCGCGUGAGUGAUGAAGGCCUUAGGGUUGUAAAGCUCUUUCAGUAGGGAAGAUAAUGACGGUACCUACAGAAGAAGCCCCGGCUAAC
rnacentral:rRNA from 1 species